rnacentral:rRNA from 1 species
UACGUAGGUGGCAAGCGUUGUCCGGAUUUACUGGGCGUAAAGCGCACGCAGGUGGCCUAUCUAGUCUGGGGUAAAAUCUCCCGGCUCAACCGGGAGAGGUCUCUGGAUACUGGUAGGCUCGAGGGCAGCAGAGGAGAGCAGAAUUCCCGGUGUAGCGGUGAUAUGCGUAGAUAUCGGGAGGAAUACCAGUGGCGAAGGCGGCUCUCUGGGCUGUCCCUGACGCUGAGGUGCGAAAGCGUGGGGAGCAAACCGG